rnacentral:rRNA from 1 species
UACAGAGGUCUCAAGCGUUGUUCGGAUUCAUUGGGCGUAAAGGGCGCGUAGGCGGUGCCACAAGUCACCUGUGAAAUCUCCGGGCUUAACUCGGAGCCUGCAGGCGAAACUGUGGUGCUGGAGUGUGGGAGAGGUGCGUGGAAUUCCCGGUGUAGCGGUGAAAUGACGUAGAUAUCGGGAGGAACACCUGUGGCGAAAGCGGCGCACUGGACCAUAACUGACGCUGGAUGCGCGAAAGCCUAGGGGAGCAAACAGG